UCAUGUGGAGUGACUAAAUUUUACAAGGAGCGAUAUGACUCUUCGCCGACAAACAAAUCGUCAAUCGGAAAGUCCUUGACAUUGCUGUUCGUAAGGAAGGCUGAAAACACUGAUAAAGCCAACAGCGGUGAGUAAAUCCCGAUCUAGUUCAUUUUAAGAACUGUUUUCAACAGCGUUAGUUGACAACAGCUUAGCGAGAAGUAGCGUACAUGGAUAUGCGUACUUGUAGUGUCACUCUGACUAAAUGUCCUUUCGUUGAUAACUACACUACAUCUAAAGCACAGUCAUGAAUAACCGUGGUGUGUUGCCUGGGACGAAUGACUCUGGAAAGCCACAGGUGCAUCUUCUCUACAACUCACACAACAUAAAGCUGUACUCACACUUCAUACCAGUGUAUGUCCAGCACCCAUGGCCGACUAAUCUGGAGCUGGUUGAACCGGAACCGAGCCAGGUCUCGACAUCUCGUACGAGUUUGCACGGUUCAAUCCAACAGACAAAGGUUGUUGCACAUGUUCGAAACAGCUCUGUUCCUCGAGAAAAACCAAGAGAUCACACACAGAGGAAU
rnacentral:misc_RNA from 1 species